GGGAAGGUGGCUCAGUGGUAGAGUGCUUGCCUAGCAUGCAUGAAGCCCUGGGUUUGACUCCUCCGUACCA
rnacentral:tRNA from 1 species